rnacentral:rRNA from 1 species
UGCCAGCCGCCGCGGUAAUACGGAGGGUCCAAGCGUUAUCCGGAUUUAUUGGGUUUAAAGGGUGCGUAGGCGGAAUAAUAAGUCAGUGGUGAAAGCCUGCAGCUUAACUGUAGAAUUGCCAUUGAUACUGUUGUUCUUGAGUAUAGUUGAUGUGAGCGGAAUGCGUCAUGUAGCGGUGAAAUGCGUAGAUAUGACGCAGAACACCAAAAGCGAAGGCAGCUCACAAAACUAUAACUGACGCUGAGGCACGAAAGCGUGGGGAGCGAACAGGAUUAGAUA